AUCAAGAGUGAAUGGUGCAACCAUUGCAGGAUGGAAGAAUUCAAAGAAAGAGAAGGAUUUCCGUGAACCACCAAGUGGAAAUGAUGAGAAUGGAAAUUCAGAUAAGAAUAAUAACAGACAUGAAGAAAAAUUUAUACUAUGGGAAGUUAUUUACUGAGGAGAUUCUGAGUAGCUGCAAGUAAUCAUCCUGUGAUAGAAGGCCCAGGCAAACUGAAGCAACAGGAAUUCAAAG